rnacentral:lncRNA from 1 species
CUCUGGCAACAGACUACUGGGGGAGAUAAGUGAGAAUUGCAACAUGCUCUCUCAUUACCCUCAAGGAACUAGAAAGAUAGAAUCUCUACGGACCCCACAAGACGACUGAUACUACAGACUAGACAAGAGCACCAGAUGAGAAAAUGGAGGUACCAAAAAGUGGGCUCUGAACUGCAGAGCCUGGCUCCAGAGCCCUUGUAUUUGACUACUGGGAUCCACCGUUAUUCUCACAGCCGCGUUUCCCACAGGGCUGCUUUGUAUGGCCUCUUAGAAAAGUCCUGCCUGUCUCCACCAUCCAGGGCCUCAGCGGCACCUGUCCUGAGUCAGCAUCUCACAGAGGUUUUGCCAGCGCCAGCCACAUCUCCAGCAUGAAGGUGAUUGUCUGAGUGUGUCCAGUCCAGUUCCUGCCUUAAUAAAAAUCACUGCUGCAAGGGAGAGGGCUGCCAAGGCCCUGCCUCCCUCCAACCCCAUCCUAGCCUGAGUCUUAACCAUUCUUCCAAUCCAGUUCCACUUUGGGCCAGUGCUUAACCCAGGG